rnacentral:ncRNA from 4 species
UACGUAGGGUGCGAGCGUUGUCCGGAAUUACUGGGCGUAAAGAGCUCGUAGGCGGUUUGUCGCGUCGUCUGUGAAAUUCUGCAACUCAAUUGCAGGCGUGCAGGCGAUACGGGCAGACUUGAGUACUACAGGGGAGACUGGAAUUCCUGGUGUAGCGGUGAAAUGCGCAGAUAUCAGGAGGAACACCGGUGGCGAAGGCGGGUCUCUGGGUAGUAACUGACGCUGAGGAGCGAAAGCGUGGGUAGCGAACAGG